rnacentral:rRNA from 1 species
UACGGAGGGGGCCAGCGUUGUUCGGAAUUAUUGGGCGUAAAGGGUGCGUAGGCGGCGCGGUAAGUCGGGUGUGAAAUCUCGGAGCUUAACUCCGAAACUGCAUUCGAUACUGCCGUGCUUGAGGACUGGAGAGGAGACUGGAAUUUACGGUGUAGCGGUGAAAUGCGUAGAUAUCGUAAGGAAGACCAGUGGCGAAGGCGGGUCUCUGGACAGUUCCUGACGCUGAGGCACGAAGGUCAGGGGAGCAAACGGG